rnacentral:rRNA from 1 species
UACGAAGGGGGCUAGCGUUGUUCGGAAUCACUGGGCGUAAAGGGCGUGUAGGCGGUCCGCUAAGUCUGAUGUGAAAGCCCGGGGCUCACCCCCGGAAGGGCAUUGGAAACUGGCGGACUCGAGUCCCGGAGAGGAAGGUGGAAUUCCUGGUGUAGCGGUGAAAUGCGUAGAUAUCAGGAGGAAUACCGGUGGCGAAGGCGGCCUUCUGGACGGUGACUGACGCUGAGACGCGAAAGCGUGGGGAGCAAACAGG